AAUGAGAGCUGAGGACGUCAUUUUCGUCGCGUCCAAACAGAGUGAAGCUGCUGAAGAUGAGCACCUGUGCGUCUCAGCUUCAAACCCGUAAGGGUGCGUUCGAGGACGGCGUGAGAAGAUCGAAAUCAAGACGCCAGUAAGAACUCUGACGCGUUAGUCAUUUGUGAUAUUGGCCUGAUAAUAAAAGCAGAGAAGCACAAAACACUCCGGAGACGGAGGCAGGCAGGACGACACGCAGCGCUGAGAGCUGCCUGUUCCCGGCAGCAGCAGCAGCAGCAGCAGCGGGGACAGAGACGCAGCCUGGCGGCCUUCACAGACCAGCUGAGUGCUGAUCAACACACAGAUAAAUCCCUUUUCUUUAGGGACACCAUAAAAUCACCUGAAGGAAUGUGAGUGUGAGCGGCGGGUUUACAGUGACCUGACUUCUGUCUCCAGUGGAACGAGUGUUUGGGAAACAUAAUUAUUCCUGGCCCUGUGCGUGAACUCGGAGGCUUUUAAUGCAUUUUUAUUUAUUCAUUUUUUACCGUCAGAACGAACUGUGAUAUAUUUGUUAAAAUUCCUGUAAUAAAUCUUUGCAUGAAAUAA